CCUACGGGGGGCAGCAGUGGGGAAUAUUGGACAAUGGGCGAAAGCCUGAUCCAGCCAUGCCGCGUGUGUGAAGAAGGCCUUCGGGUUGUAAAGCACUUUCAGUGGGGAAGAAAGCCUUGGGGCUAAUACCCUCGAGGAAGGACAUCACCCACAGAAGAAGCACCGGCUAACUCCGUGCCAGCAGCCGCGGUAAUACGGAGGGUGUGAGCGUUAAUCGGAAUUACUGGGCGUAAAGCGCGCGUAGGCGGUCUGAUAAGCCGGUUGUGAAAGCCCCGGGCUCAACCUGGGAACGGCAUCCGGAACUGUCAGGCUAGAGUGCAGGAGAGGAAGGUAGAAUUCCCGGUGUAGCGGUGAAAUGCGUAGAGAUCGGGAGGAAUACCAGUGGCGAAGGCGGCCUUCUGGACUGACACUGACGCUGAGGUGCGAAAGCGUGGGUAGCAAACAGGAUUAGAUACCCCAGUAGUC
rnacentral:rRNA from 1 species